CGGAAGCAGAAGGGCGGGGCGCAAGAGCGACUGAGAGCACUACGCGGAACCUAAGAAUCUUGAAAGGAAAGAGAAAGAACUAACAUUUCUGUGACUGAGAACUGGACGGUGACAAAUGAGAAAAUAAACACAAUAAAGGCAAGUUUGGUGGGGGUGACAGAGCAGAGCGACUUGUGAUCCCCGCUCCGUCACCACGUUCGGUUCGGUUCGGUUCGUUCCUCUGGACUACGGCGUUAAUGAUGCCGGCAAUCAGCGCAAAGUGAGAUAAUCACCAGCGCACUCUUGGAUCUCUAUGCAGGUUUGUAAACUAUGUGGAGGAAACGAACCCGUCGCAGUCUCAGCGGAAGAGGCCGGAGUAGGAGCCGAAGCCUGAGCAGGUUCCGAAAAACAGACCGGCCGUUCAGGACUAGGCCCUGAACCACAACUUGCUCCUCAGGGGUCCGGGUCGGAAGUGACGACUUCAUUCACUGAGCAGCCAUUUCCGGUCCCCAGUGUGCCCGGAGUGCCUUCUGGGUUUCAGAAAAGACACAGAAACUGACGGGGCGGAACCGCGACACGGCGGUGCCUGCUGAUGUCAAAAGGUCUCACGGCUCCGGGGGGACCCAGUCGCCCACAGCCGCCAGGGGCGCUGCCGGCUCCGAGCCCGUUGUCGAGAGCCGCUCCGCUGCUCGUGUCUGCCCUUCAGUCCUUCCAACUCUUCUGGGACCUAGAGUUCCGGGAUCUCACUGCGAGCUUGGAGGAUUCCUAUGUAAAAUUCGAAAGGAUAUGGGGAAGGAAAAAACAAAAACACACCUCACUUUGUUUCCGCCCGGUUUCGAACCGGGGACCUUUCGCGUGUGAGGCGAACGUGAUAACCACUACACUACGGAAACUAAGUGGCAGCUGGGGUUUUGCAAACGGCUCUUAAAAGGUAGCGCCUCAUCACUGCGUCCCUGAUCCAAGAGAAAAGUACCCGGCGGGCCAACCACAGCUUCGGGAUGGGGGCGCGCAGGGAAGUAGCCAGCAAAGCAGGGCUCCCUAAUGACCUUGCCCGGCGGUUCUCAAGACCGAGACUUCAGAUCAUCUGGGAGAGGUUGAAAGGCACAGGCAGUGUUCACCGCCUUGAACUGAAGAUCACUGAAUACGGCUUUGGUGGAAACCACUGCAGUGACAUCAGAAAGCAGAAAAAGCAGACUUCCCUGACCGGGAAUCGAACCCGGGUCGCGGCGGUGAAAACGCCGAAUCCUAGCCACUAGACCACCAGGGAGGGACAGUCACAGAAUGUGGGCAACACCUUCUGGGAAAAGAUCUUAGGACAGACGCCUCAGCCACCUCAGGCACAUGUUAGAAAGCUAUAGGAAUGUCUUAAGAAUAUUUUGCAGUAAUGUGUAUAGUACUGGAUGCAGCGACUGCUGCCUGGGUCAGAGGGUGGCAGAAGGCUUUAGGGGCAGAAACGUUGGAAGAAAGAUUGUCACAAGUCAAGCUGGGGAAGAGAAAAAUGUUUCCCAAAUCAUUUUUCUCACGCACUCCCUCUGACACGAGAGUUUCUCAUCUCCCUUCCUCCCUCCCUCCCGCCCUCCUUCUUGCUUCCUAAAAUCAGCAUGUCCUUCACUUACAUAGUUUCUCCACGGCUGAUUGAGAAAAACAUGUGUCUCUUUUGCCCCCCUCCCCCAAAGGAUCCUAUUCCUGAUCUCUAAAUAUGCCCCUCCCCAUGCAGAGGAAGGAGCAUUCAGAGCCUGGGAGACCUGCCUACCUGGAGCUGCACCCAUCUUUCAGGCCAUGCUCUGUUUCCUGGAACCUGAAAUGGAUUUACCUAUUUUAUGUACUUCACAGAAAUGAAAUCACAUAAUGUGUCACAUUUUGUCCAGCUUCUCUCACUUGGCAUAGUUUUGGGUUCAUUCAUGUCAUAGUACGUGCUAGGAUUUCAUUUCUUCUUAUGGCCAAAUAAUAUUUUAUGUAUAUACCACAUUUCCUUUAUCCAUUAGUCUGUUGAUGGGCAUUUGGGUUGUUUCCACCUUUUGGCUGUUGUGUAUAUUGCUGCUAUGAACAUUUAUGUACAAGCA